rnacentral:sRNA from 1 species
UCCGUAGGUGAACCUGCGGAAGGAUCAUUAAAAAUUUAAUUGUUUACACGUUUACGUUUAACAUAUACAACUAACCAACUUAAUUAUGUCAACAACAACAACCAAAAAUCAAAACUUUCAACAACGGAUCUCUUGGUUCUCGCAUCGAUGAAGAACGCAGCGAAAUGCGAUAAGUAAUAUGAAUUGCAGAUUUUCGUGAAUCAUCGAAUCUUUGAACGCACAUUGCACCUUGUGGUAUUCCACAAGGUAUGCCUGUUUGAGCGUCAUUUCUCCCUCAACCCCCGCGGGUUGGCGUUGAAUGGCACGAGCUCUUAGUCAGUCCAUUCGAAAAGUAUUUUUCUUGUGUUGUUAUUUUCUAAUUUAGUAGUGACAACCACACUAAAAACACAUUUUCCUCAAAUCAGGUAGGACUACCCGCUGAACUUAAGCAUAUCAAUAAGCGGAGGAAAAGA